UACGAGUGCCCCGAGCGUUAUCCGGAAUCACUGGGCGUAAAGGGAGCGUAGGCGGGCUCUUAAGUUAGGUGUUUAAUCCCGGGGCCCAACCCCGGACAGGCACCUAAAACUGGGAGUCUUGAAUAGUGGAGAGGACGGCGGAAUUGGGGGUGUAGCGGUGGAAUGCGUAGAGAUCCCCAAGAACACCAGUUGCGAAGGCGGCCGUCUGGACACAUAUUGACGCUGAGGCUCGAAAGCAUGGGGAGCAAACAGG
rnacentral:rRNA from 1 species